rnacentral:lncRNA from 1 species
CGCGCAGGUCCUUCGCCGCCCUCCUCCCCCGGAAACCGAGCGUGCGCUAGGAGUUCCGCAGGACAGUUCUGUUCCGGACCCAGCGCUCAGACUGCGCGCCGCCACCGGGGGGCAUCAGGCCUCGCUGGGGAUUCAGUGGCUGAGACCCCGAAACUCCGAGCCCGGACGCUUACCUGUGCGCGAUAGGUGGGCGUGGUGAGCGACCCAGAGCUUCAGGGCCCCCAGGGCGGCCGGCCUGCCUGCCACCCACCGCUUGGUCUCCGCAGGGAAACAGAGUCCCACAGGCGCCGUCGCCCCCUGCCCUCCAUGGGUUCGAUCCCGGCCACUCGGGUGAAGCGCUUGCUUCCCUAAAAGAAUACAAGGAUUUCUGAGGCGGGGAGGGGAUGCGGAAAGGCGUCUUCUGUUUUGUCAGCGAUGACAACUUCUAGCGCGUGGCUUAACUUUCAGUUGUGCCUGGAAAAGAAAUGCAGGUUUGAAGAGCUUGAGAGACAUACCCAAGGUAAAUCUUUGGCUAAGAAUUCCCACCGAAUAUUUUCUUACUCUGAAUCCCCUCUCUUGCCUUCUUGUCAACUGGCUUCCCAAAUCUUAGUCUCACUCUGUCAAUGUCUCUGCCAAAGAGAAAGAAUCAAGUCUGUAACAGCAAAUAUCUAA